UAAUACAGAGGUCUCGAGCGUUAAUCGGAAUUACUGGGCUUAAAGGGUGCGUAGGCGGUCCCGUAAGUGCCUUGUGAAAUCCCAUGGCUCAACCAUGGAAUUGCUCGGUAGACUGCGGGACUUGAGGUCGGUAGAGGUCGCUGGAACUCUAGGUGGAGCGGUGAAAUGCGUAGAUAUCUAGAGGAACGCCAAAGGUGUAGACAGGCGACUGGGCCGAUUCUGACGCUGAGGCACGAAAGCGUGGGUAGCGAACGGGAUUAGAUACCCCGGUAGUCCACGCCCUAAACGAUGUGCACUAGAUCGUGGAGGCUCUGACGCCACCAUGGUCGAAGUUAAAAUGCUAAGUGCACCGCCUGGGGAGUACGGUCGCAAGGCUA
rnacentral:rRNA from 1 species